CGGUAGCUAAUACCGCAUAACGUCGCAAGACCAAAGUGGGGGACCUUCGGGCCUCAUGCCAUCAGAUGUGCCCAGAUGGGAUUAGCUAGUAGGUGGGGUAACGGCUCACCUAGGCGACGAUCCCUAGCUGGUCUGAGAGGAUGACCAGCCACACUGGAACUGAGACACGGUCCAGACUCCUACGGGAGGCAGCAGUGGGGAAUAUUGCACAAUGGGCGCAAGCCUGAUGCAGCCAUGCCGCGUGUGUGAAGAAGGCCUUCGGGUUGUAAAGCACUUUCAGCGGGGAGGAAGGCGGUGAGGUUAAUAACCUCAUCGAUUGACGUUACCCGCAG
rnacentral:rRNA from 1 species